ACUCUGGGAAGAAGAUGAUCGCGGCCGUCUUGCUGAUACUGGAAUAGUUUUUGGGAACUGUAACACCUGUAGAUAGGAACCCAAGUCCUUACUGCAAGUCAUAUGUAAUUUUGGAACCUGCAGUUGAUAUGAAGCACCGCGAAUUCUUCAAAACUUUCUUCAGGACUUAACAGGCCUUGGUCGCAGGGAUGGGGACAGUUAUUGUAUAAUGGGC